rnacentral:rRNA from 1 species
CCUACGGGUGGCAGCAGUGAGGAAUAUUGGUCAAUGGGCGCGAGCCUGAACCAGCCACGUAGCGUGAAGGAUGACUGCCCUACGGGUUGUAAACUUCUUUUAUAAAGGAAUAAAGUGAGGCACGUGUGCCUUUUUGUCUGUACUUUAUGAAUAAGGAUCGGCGAACUCCGUGCCACCAGCCGCGGUGAUACGGGGGAUCAGAGCGUUAUCCGGAUUUAUUGGGUUUAAAGGACGCGUAGAUGGGGUGUUAAGUCAGUUGUGAAAGUUUGCGGCUCAACCGUAAAAUUGCAAUUGAUACUGGCAGUCUUGAGUACAGUUGAGGUAGGCGGAAUUCGUGGUGUAGCGGUGAAAUGCUUAGAGAUCACGAAGAACUCCGAUUGCGAAGGCAGCUUACUAAACUGCCACUGACAUUGAUGCUCGAAAGUGUGGGUAUCAAACAGGAUUAGAUACCCUUGUAGUC